GUAACACGUAAAGAACCUGCCCUCAGGUCUGGGAUAACCACGAGAAAUCGGGGCUAAUACCGGAUGGGUCAUCGGACCGCAUGGUCCGAGGAUGAAAGGCGCUUCGGCGUCGCCUGGGGAUGGCUUUGCGGUGCAUUAGCUAGUUGGUGGGGUAAUGGCCCACCAAGGCGACGAUGCAUAGCCGACCUGAGAGGGUGAUCGGCCACACUGGGACUGAGACACGGCCCAGACUCCUACGGGAGGCAGCAGUAGGGAAUCUUCCACAAUGGACGAAAGUCUGAUGGAGCAACGCCGCGUGGACGAUGAAGGCCUUCGGGUCGUAAAGUUCUGUUGUAAGGGAAGAACAAGUGCCGCAGGCAAUGGCGGCACCUUGACGGUACCUUGCGAGAAGGCCACGGCUAACUACGUGCCAGCAGCCGCGGUAAUACGUAGGUGGCAAGCGUUGUCCGGAAUUAUUGGGCGUAAAGCGCGCGCAGGCGGCCUCUUAAGUCUGAUGUGAAAGCCCCCGGCUCAACCGGGGAGGGCCAUUGGAAACUGGGAGGCUUGAGUAUAGGAGAGAAGAAUGGAAUUCCACGUGUAGCGGUGAAAUGCGUAGAGAUGUGGAGGAACACCAGUGGCGAAGGCGACUCUUUGGCCUAUAACUGACGCUGAGGCG
rnacentral:rRNA from 1 species